UGAGGCGAUUUUCCCUAGCUGAGCGGCCUAGAGCCACUCAGAGGCAAGGGUUUGGACUCAGUGACUUUUGUCCCUUCAGACAUUGAAGGGGCCAGGAAGCGUGUGAGCACGGCUGAAGUUUCAAACCCAUACCCACCCCCACCCUCUUGUCCCCUCUUCUGUAACACUGGCAUGCUGGGAAACAGAUACCUCCUGCCUUUCUCAGCCCAGAGGCUUCACUGCGAGUACUGUCCAGCCACACCACAUCUGGGGCCUGCCCAUCCCUGGAUUUGUGUAUCUGGACAGUGGGACAGUGAGCCAAAGGUAGGGCCUUCCUUGGCGGCCUGACUCUCGGGGUGUGCUGGGUCUCAUCUCUCUUGGUACAAGUGAGCCUGAGUCAACGCUCCUUCCAUGCUGGGGAUGUUCAUAGCUGAGCUCCACUCAUGCUGCACGGCCCGCCUGCUGCCUCCACCUCUAAAUGAAGACUGGGCUUCAGAUGAUGGGAAAUACAAGGUACAGAGAGGUGGAGCAACUUGCCCAGCAGGACACAGCCAGAGGAUGUUCCAGCAGGGCAGAGCCCUGGCCAAGUUGGUCCUGAACUCAGCUCCUGUCACCUUCCUCUGCUGGGAAGGGGGUGUGGCUGAAGGGGGAGGAGAAGGUGCCCGCUGUGGGAGGAGCUGUUGGUAGCAGGGAGGUUUCUGAUGAGCCGAGGGGGAGUGGCAUUGGAUGUGGCAGCGAGGAGGGGUUCACAUAAAGUUCCCUUGCCCACCCGGCGUCCUCAGCCCCACUCACUGUAAACUAGAGCAACAGGUACCUGUUCUCUCUGCUACUGAAAGAAGUAAGGUGUCUGGUCUAGCCCUUGGCCCAGCCCAUGGGGGCUGAAAGCAGAAGCUGCUGUGUCUGUCAGGCCAAGGAGUGCCAGGCUUUGGCCUAGGGAGGAGAAACAGUGCUAGGCUACCAGACUAAGUCUGGAGUGUUAGAGUGGACAGUGUCCUUGGGAGCCAGAUCUGGUAAACUUCCCAUCCACUGGGUCAUUUCAACCCCAAGGCACUCUAGUGGUUAUAAUUUAUCCCAAUAAAUCCUGGAGAAUUCCAGAA